GCUCACUUCAGCAGCAUAUACUAAAAUUGGAAUGAUACAGAGUUUAGCAUGGCCCCUAUGCAAGGAUGAUGUUCAAAUUUUUAGUGUUCCGUAUUUUU
ensembl:snRNA U6 U6 spliceosomal RNA